GCCAGGCAGGGUGGCCCAUACCUGUAAUCCCAGCAACUUGGGAGGUUGAGACAGGGGAUUUCUAGUUCAAGGCCAGUCUGGGCAACUUAGAGAGACCCUCAGCAACUUAGCAAGACCCUGUCUCAA
rnacentral:sRNA from 1 species